CCCAGACUCCUACGGGAGGCAGCAGUGGGGAAUAUUGCACCAUGGGCGAAAGCCUGCUGCAGCAGCGCCGCUUGAGCGAUGCCGGCCUUCGGGUCUUCCCGCUCUGUCCUCCCUGAAGAUAAUGCCGGUACUUGAUUCUUCCGCCCCGGCUCCCUCCGUGCCAUCCUCCUCGGUAAUCCUUCUGGGGCUAGCGUUCUCCGGAAUUCCUGGGCGUAAAGGGUGCGUAGGUGGUUUCUUAAGUCAGAGGUGAAAGGCUACGGCGCAACCGUAGUAAGCCUUUGAAACUGGGGAACUUGAGUGCAGGAGAGGAGAGUGGAAUUCCUAGUGUAGCGGUGAAAUGCGUAGAUAGUAGGAGGAACACCAGUUGCGAAGGCGGCUCGCUGGACUGUAACUGACACUGAGGCACGAAAGCGUGGGGAGCAAACAGGAUUAGAUACCCCGGUAAA
rnacentral:rRNA from 1 species